rnacentral:rRNA from 1 species
UUAAGCAUGUAGGCUGGUUAUCCAGGCAAAUCCGGAUAAUCAAGGCUGAGGUGUGAUGACGAGGCACUACGGUGCUGAAGUAACAAAUGCCCUGCUUCCAGGAAAAGCCUCUAAGCAUCAGGUAACACGAAAUCGUACCCCAAACCGACACAGGUGGUCAGGUAGAGAAUACCAAGGCGCUUGAGAGAACUCGGGUGAAGGAACUAGGCAAAAUGGUGCCGUAACUUCGGGAGAAGGCACGCUGGUGUGUAGGUGA